AGAACGAACGCUGGCGGCAGGCUUAACACAUGCAAGUCGAACGCCCCGCAAGGGGAGUGGCAGACGGGUGAGUAACGCGUGGGAAUCUACCUGGUUCUACGGAAUAACACAGGGAAACUUGUGCUAAUACCGUAUACGCCCCAAGGGGGAAAGAUUUAUCGGUGCCAGAUGAGCCCGCGUAAGAUUAGCUAGUUGGUGGGGUAAUGGCCUACCAAGGCGACGAUCUUUAGCUGGUCUGAGAGGAUGAUCAGCCACACUGGGACUGAGACACGGCCCAGACUCCUACGGGAGGCAGCAGUGGGGAAUAUUGGACAAUGGGCGAAAGCCUGAUCCAGCCAUGCCGCGUGAGUGAUGAAGGCCUUAGGGUUGUAAAGCUCUUUCAGUGGGGAAGAUAAUGACGGUACCCACAGAAGAAGCCCCGGCUAACUUCGUGCCAGCAGCCGC
rnacentral:rRNA from 1 species